CAGUAGCCGCGGGAAUACGUAGGGUGCGAGCGUUAAUCGGAAUUACUGGGCGUAAAGCGUGCGCAGGCGGUUCGUUAAGACAGAUGUGAAAUCCCCGGGCUUAACCUGGGAACUGCAUUUGUGACUGGCGAGCUAGAGUAUGGCAGAGGGGGGUAGAAUUCCACGUGUAGCAGUGAAAUGCGUAGAGAUGUGGAGGAAUACCGAUGGCGAAGGCAGCCCCCUGGGCCAAUACUGACGCUCAUGCACGAAAGCGUGGGGAGCAAACAGGAUUAGAUACCCCUGUAGUCCUGUCUCUUAUACA
rnacentral:rRNA from 1 species